rnacentral:tRNA from 1 species
GAGGGUAGAGCUCAGUGGCAGAGCACGUGCUUAGCAUGCACGGGGUCCUGGGUUCAAUCCCCGGUACCUCCA